AUGGAGAAGACUGACGUGAUCCAGAAGGCCAAGCUGGCCGAGCAGGCCGAGCGCUACGACGACAUGGCCACCUGCAUGAAGGCAGUGACCGAGCAGGGCGCCGAGCUGUCCCACGAGGAGUGCAACCUGCUCUCUGUGGCCUACAAGAACGUGGUGGGGGCCCGCAGGUCCGCCUGGAAGGUCAUCCCUAGCAUCAGCAGAAGACUGACACCUCCAACAAGAAGUUGCAGCUGAUUAAGGACUAUCAGGAGAAAGUGGAGUCCAGCUGAGAUCCAUCUGCAAAAGGGUCCUGGAAUUGUUGGAUAAAUAUUUAAUAGCCAAUGCAACUAAUCCAGAGAGUAAGGUGUUCUAUCUGAAAAUGAAGGGUGAUUACUUCCAGUACCUUGCUGAAGUUGCAUGUGGUGAUGAUCAAAAACAAAUGAUAGAUAAUUCCCAAGGAGCUUACCAAGAGGCAUUUGAUAUAAGCAAGAAAGAGAUGCAACCCGCACACCCAAUCCGCCUGGGGCUUGCUCUUAACUUUUCUGUAUUUUACUAUGAGAUUCUUAAUAACCCAGAGCUUGCCUGCAUGCUGGCUAAAACAGCUUUUGAUGAGGCCAUUGCUCAACUUGAUACACUGAAUGAAGACUCAUACAAAGACAGCACCCUCAUCAUGCAGUUGCUUAGAGACAACCUAACACUUUGGACAUUAGACAGUGCAGGAGAAGAAUGUGAUGCGGCAGAAGGGGCUGAAAACUAA